GGGUUGUGAGGUUAAGCGACUAAGCGUACACGGUGGAUGCCCUGGCAGUCAGAGGCGAUGAAGGACGUGCUAAUCUGCGAUAAGCGUCGGUAAGGUGAUAUGAACCGUUAUAACCGGCGAUUUCCGAAUGGGGAAACCCAGUGUGUUUCGACACACUAUCAUUAACUGAAUCCAUAGGUUAAUGAGGCGAACCGGGGGAACUGAAACAUCUAAGUACCCCGAGGAAAAGAAAUCAACCGAGAUUCCCCCAGUAGCGGCGAGCGAACGGGGAGCAGCCCAGAGCCUGAAUCAGUGUGUGUGUUAGUGGAAGCGUCUGGAAAGGCGUGCGAUACAGGGUGACAGCCCCGUACACAAAAAUGCACAUGCUGUGAGCUCGAUGAGUAGGGCGGGACACGUGGUAUCCUGUCUGAAUAUGGGGGGACCAUCCUCCAAGGCUAAAUACUCCUGACUGACCGAUAGUGAACCAGUACCGUGAGGGAAAGGCGAAAAGAACCCCGGCGAGGGGAGUGAAAAAGAACCUGAAACCGUGUACGUACAAGCAGUGGGAGCACGCUUAGGCGUGUGACUGCGUACCUUUUGUAUAAUGGGUCAGCGACUUAUAUUCUGUAGCAAGGUUAACCGAAUAGGGGAGCCGAAGGGAAACCGAGUCUUAACUGGGCGUUAAGUUGCAGGGUAUAGACCCGAAACCCGGUGAUCUAGCCAUGGGCAGGUUGAAGGUUGGGUAACACUAACUGGAGGACCGAACCGACUAAUGUUGAAAAAUUAGCGGAUGACUUGUGGCUGGGGGUGAAAGGCCAAUCAAACCGGGAGAUAGCUGGUUCUCCCCGAAAGCUAUUUAGGUAGCGCCUCGUGAAUUCAUCUCCGGGGGUAGAGCACUGUUUCGGCAAGGGGGUCAUCCCGACUUACCAACCCGAUGCAAACUGCGAAUACCGGAGAAUGUUAUCACGGGAGACACACGGCGGGUGCUAACGUCCGUCGUGAAGAGGGAAACAACCCAGACCGCCAGCUAAGGUCCCAAAGUCAUGGUUAAGUGGGAAACGAUGUGGGAAGGCCCAGACAGCCAGGAUGUUGGCUUAGAAGCAGCCAUCAUUUAAAGAAAGCGUAAUAGCUCACUGGUCGAGUCGGCCUGCGCGGAAGAUGUAACGGGGCUAAACCAUGCACCGAAGCUGCGGCAGCGACGCUGAUGCGUUGUUGGGUAGGGGAGCGUUCUGUAAGCCUGCGAAGGUGUGCUGUGAGGCAUGCUGGAGGUAUCAGAAGUGCGAAUGCUGACAUAAGUAACGAUAAAGCGGGUGAAAAGCCCGCUCGCCGGAAGACCAAGGGUUCCUGUCCAACGUUAAU
rnacentral:rRNA from 1 species